CACAUAUUCUAAGUCAGAGUCGUCAAGAGUUAACACAGUUUCCAACGAAGGGCCAGAAGUAUACAGAAUGGUGUCGUCUGCGUAGAGGUGGAUCAGAGAAUCACCAGCAGCAAGAGCGACAUCAUUGAUGUAUACAGAGAAGAGAGUCGGCCCGAAAAUUGAACCCUGUGGCACCCCCAUAGAGACUGCCAGAGGUCCGGACACACUGAACUCUAUCAGAGAAGUAGUUGGACCUUGAGCAUGGCUGAGGUGCACCCAUGACCAGCGCGGAAACCAGAUUGCAUAGCGCAGAAGGCACAUGGAGGCAGCAGCUGUACGGCAGUGGACGGGGUCGUAAAAGCGAGGGCCGAAAGAGGAAGUAAGGGGGACCUUCUGAGUUAUUACCCUCCAACGUACACACGGGGGCCUGGGAACUGUCCUCUUCUCACAGAGGACCACGGUGCAGCGUGGAGCAGGGCUGUUCUCCGGGCCUGCUUCCCCCAUCACCCUCUGUGUACUUUACCACCCCAUCACAAGUCCACAGCCGUCAUAAUGAGACAUGAGAGUAUACAGUAUGGACAACAAGACACCGUUUGCUCCAUAAUAAAACCAUUUGCUUACCAUUGCUUUACAACAGAUUUGUUCCCACCAUGAUCACAUGCAGGUAUUGUGUCUGUUGCUGUGUGGCCCUAAACACACAUCACAAUGGGAGAAUUUAUGGCAAAGUCACAGGUCUGGCAACAGAAAUAGAAAAUGUGCACUAUGUACUGUAUGUCUGAAUGGAUCAGAUAUUAGGUCACUGUCUGCCAUUAUAUUGGGUACACCGAGAUACAGAC
rnacentral:lncRNA from 1 species